AAAAAUCUCGAGACUCAAGUCGGACAACUUGCUAAACAACUAGCGGAACAACAACCCGGUCCAUCUUUCUCGGCGAACACGCAAACGAAUCCUAAAGAGCAUUGUAAAGCGAUAACGACGAGAAGUGGAAGGGAGUUGAUUAGUGAGAGUAAAAAAAGAGAUGAGAGUGAAAAAAGAGAGGAAGAGAAAAAAGAUGAGGAGAAAAUAAUAGAGGAUAGUGUUGAUGGUGAAGUUGGGGAGUGGAGUG
rnacentral:lncRNA from 1 species